CGGCUGGCCAGGCCAAAGGAAGCGUAAACACUUCUCUUGCAGUAUAUUAUUGUUGGGAUGAGCGUCUCCACUUCUUCAAGCCAGACUCACCAGGAGGGAAGUGACACCACACUCAUAUUAUAGACUUUCAUGUGAUACAAAACACUGUCUGUGUAGCUACAAUUGCAUCACCCUCCGUUCCUUGGGUACUAUUAGCAGCAGUUGCCUAAAAUCCAGAUCAGGCAACUGAAGUGACUCCUCUGGAAGCUGAGCUUAACACUUGAUGAACUGGGUCGAGAUGCCAUCGAGAGAGUUUACAUCACAGUCACAUCUUCUUAGAAUCCCCUAGGCCUGGUUCAAGCACCAGCAACUCUUCUGAAUCUCCAGUACCUCCUCCUAAUACAAGUGAAAGCAGAUCUUCUUUACCAGCCUCCAUAGGAAGAAAGAGAUGAAGGCUUAGUAAAUUUACAAAGGAGGACUACUAUUAUCAGAUGCUGUUGUAUCAGAAGCAACAUCACAAGGCUGCUAGACAGGAAAAUUAGGGAAGAGACAGAAGCAUGCCAAAGCUGGAGGGUUGCAAUUGCAGGAAUAAGAGACAUUUCCUCAUGUGCCCAGUGCUGUAUAUAUGUUCACAGAAUAAUAAUGAGUGAUUUACAUCAUGAAGUCCCUCACUAGUGAAUCUUAGAACAUUGUUUUCUUGCAAAGGUACUUCUCAGCCAUGCACUUAACCAUUUACCAUAGCACCAUACAAGAGAACAUAAAAAUUGUAUGAUAUAUUCUAGUUGUUCUGUGAUCUUUUGCAAUAGUCAAUAACUGCAGUGGCUACUG